rnacentral:rRNA from 1 species
GUGGGGAAUCUUGCGCAAUGGGCGAAAGCCUGACGCAGCCAUGCCGCGUGAAUGAUGAAGGUCUUAGGAUUGUAAAAUUCUUUCACCGGGGACGAUAAUGACGGUACCCGGAGAAGAAGCUCCGGCUAACUUCGUGCCAGUAGCCGCGGUAAUACGAAGGGGGCUAGCGUUGCUCGGAAUUACUGGGCGUAAAGGGCGCGUAGGCGGACAGCUUAGUCAGAGGUGAAAGCCCAGGGCUCAACCUUGGAAUUGCCUUUGAUACUGGCUGUCUUGAGUUUGGGAGAGGUGAGUGGAACUCCGAGUGUAGAGGUGAAAUUCGUAGAUAUUCGGAAGAACACCAGUGGCGAAGGCGACUCACUGGCCCAAUACUGACGCUGAGGCGCGAAAGCGUGGGGAGCAAACAGGAUUAGAAACCCUAGUAGUCC